rnacentral:siRNA from 1 species
CUUCCAAGCUAAAGGUGUUUGC